CAAAUCUAAAAAAUGUGCUGAUAAGUGACGUCUUUAGCCUUUAAACUGUGUCCAUAUAAAAGACCGCAAUAGAUUUUUGUCACAUCAGAUGUAAGGUUUGCAACAUGGUGCAAAGUGGACGAAAUAGACACUGAAAUAGUUUUAAACAUCAAGAGCAGUGAGGGUGGGGAAUUCAAAACGUUUCAUCUUUCUCUUCACCUGGAUUCAAAAGAAAAAGGAUGGCUGUGGCACAGAUAAUAUCAAUCUUCCUGAUUAUAAUGGUGACUGCUGCAACCUACAACUACAGAAGCUUCAACUGCCACAACAGCGAAUGAUGCAAGUACAACAGUGGAAACUGCAACUUCCGCAACAGUGACUGAUCCACCUACAACUACUUUAGCUUCAACUGACGCAACAGUGACUGCUGCACCUACAACUACAGCAGCUUCAACCGACGCAACAGUGACUGCUGCAAGUACAACAGCGGAUCGGGCAAGUUCCGCAACAGUGGCUGAUGCACCUUCAACUGCAGCAGCUUCAACUGCCACAACAGCGACUGAUGCAACUACUACUACAGCAGCAACGACUGCUGUUCCGACAACAGUAGCAUCUUCAACUGAGGCAACAGCGACUGCUGCAAGUACAACAGUGGAUCCUGCAACAGUGACUGAUGCACCUACAACCACAAGAGCGUCAACUGACACAACAACGACUGCUGCAAGUACAACAGCGGAUCCGGCAACUUCUGCAACAGUGACUGAUGAACCUACAACUGCAGCAGCUUCAACUGCCACACCAGCGACUGAUGCCCCUACAACUACAGCAGCAACGACUGCUGUCCCGACAACAGCAGCAUCUUCAACUGACGCCACAGCAACUGCUGCAAGUACAACAGCGGAUCCUGCAACUUCCGCAACAGUGGCUGAUGCACCUACAACUGCAGCAGCUUCAACUGCCACAACAGCGACUGAUGCAACUACUGCUACAGCAGCAACGACUGCUGUUCCGACAACAGUAGCAUCUUCAACUGAGGCAACAGCGACUGCUGCAAGUACAACAGUGGAUCCUGCAACAGUGACUGAUGCACCUACAACCACAAGAGCGUCAACUGACACAACAACGACUGCUGCAAGUACAACAGCGGAUCCGGCAACUUCUGCAACAGUGACUGAUGCACCUACAACUGCAGCAGCUUCAACUGCCACACCAGCGACUGAUGCAACUACUGCUACAGCAGCAACGACUGCUGUUCCGACAACAGUAGCAUCUUCAACUGAGGCAACAGCGACUGCUGCAAGUACAACAGCGGAUCCUGCAACGUCUGCAACAGUGACAGAUGACCUUACAACUGCAUUAGCAACGACUGCUGCAACUACAACUGCAGCAGCUUCAACUGCCACAACAGCGAAUGAUGCAAGUACAACAGCGGAUCUUGCAACUUCCGCAACAG
ensembl:lncRNA